rnacentral:rRNA from 1 species
CCUACGGGAGGCAGCAGUGAGGAAUAUUGGUCAAUGGGAGAGAUCCUGAACCAGCCAAGCCGCGUGAGGGAAGACGGCCCUAUGGGUUGUAAACCUCUUUUGUCGGAGAACAAAACCCGGGACGUGUCCCGGACUGCGUGUAUCCGAAGAAAAAGCAUCGGCUAACUCCGUGCAAGCAGCCGCGGUAAUACGGAGGAUGCGAGCGGUAUCCGGAUUUAUGGGGUUUAAAGGGUGCGUAGGCGGUCCGUUAAGUCAGCGGUAAAAUUGCGGGGCGAAACCCCGUCGAGACGUUGAAACUGGCAGACUUGAGUUGGCGAGAAGUACGGGGAAUGCGCGGUGUAGCGGUGGAAUGCAUAGAUAUCGCGCAGAACUCCGAUUGCGAAGGCAGCGUACCGGCGCCAGACUGACGCUGAGGCACGAAAGCGUGGGGAUCGAACAGGAUUAGAUACCCUUGUAGUA